CGGAAGGCUGCGGAAGUGUUGGACGUCAAGGAAAGCUUAGCAAGUGAAAGAGUGCGGAAUUGUUACUUGCGCGGAUGCACGUUUCCUCUCUUCCCCCUCUUUUUAUUUCAGUAUUUUGUCUCUUUCAUUUUAUUAUUUGAUUCAAGAAGUCUGCCUUUUUAUUUACUUCAUAAAAAAGUGUGUUUGCAGAUGACAUUGUGAUCUGCAGUGAAAGCAGGGAGCAGCUGGAGGAACAGUUAGAAAGAUGGAGGCAUGCACUGGAAAGAAGAGGAAUGAAGAUUAGAUGAAAAUUGAGUUCCUCGACAUCUGGGAUGUGGACAUGAAGAAACGAGAUGAGACCAACAAGAUUCUCGACCAUACGGCCCUCUACCAUUCGGAGAAUCUCAUUGUCCAAAGAGGGCAAGAGUUCCAGGUUAACAUCACCUUCAACCGUCUGUACAACCCAAACAAGGACAAGUUUGCCGUGGAGCUUGUCAUCGUUUCCAAUCCUCAGUACAGCAAGAACACCUACGUUCCUGUCUUCUCAACCGAGGACAGACAGAGCUCCUGGCCGGGCCGUGUCAUCCGGACCUCUGACGUUCUCACCGUGGUUGUCAUGCCCGCUGCCAACUGCAUCGUGGGCAAGUACCAGAUGUAUGCCGCUGAGGCGAACCUAUACGGCAUCCGCACGACCAAGCGGUACAAGAGUCGUUACAUCUAUGUUCACGUCAAUCCAUGGGAGGCAGCAUCACCUCGACGUGUCGCCUAAAAGCACCAACAACUUCAGAAACGUGCGUACGCCAGCCAUGAAGUUGGCGUGAGGCACGCUCAUUUCACUCUUGAUACAUCUGAACUUUGCUGUGAAAAAGAACUUGCUUUUCUCAAUCCCUCCAACGCAGAGCGGAAAGUGUUGUGAUCGUCGUGUGAAAAUGUGUGCAAGGACAGCAGAGUACGAGGAGGAACUUUGUGGCCCAAAAGAGGAGAACGAGCCACGGUGGUCAUAGGAAUGACAUAGAUAUUAAAGGCCAUUUGACCAUCAUUAAUCUGGAACUUAAUUUCAACCAGGCUGCUACAACACCCUUAUAAUUUUGUUUCAGCAUAAAUUAAUAAUUAAAAAAAAUUUCAGCAUAUUAAAUUAGCGAUUGAACAUAAUUUUUUUUAAUGCUGUGUUCUUGUGAGUGUACAACAGUAUAUGAUAGCAAUGUAAAAUAUAAUAUCAACUUGAACAAAGCGAUGUUUGGAAACUCAAGCAAGAUUUUGUAUUUUGUUUGUUUUUUCGUUAAAACUGGUCAAAUUGGAGGUGGGGAAAUUCCGCCCGACAGCGAUUUUAUAUGAAAUAUGAGUUAAUACUGCCAAUUUAAUAAAUUCCUUUUUCCACACAAGCUAUGCAGUGAAUUUGGUGUCCAGCUCUGCGACUGAUGUUACACCAGGACAGGUCGAUUUUUGUGAUGGAAAACUGUGCGUUUAAAGUGCAAUGAAUUAUUGACAAAACUGAUUGAUGGUGUUAGAAAUGUCUGACAAUUUCAUUGUAUUGAGCAAAAAAUACAUUAAGCCAAUUUGUAAGUGAAUUAUGGACCGUGUAAACUCCUUCCCCAUUUCAGUUCUCUGGAUUUUUUUAUUCGUGGCUAAAACCAAGCCCACUUGGACUUUCUUGCAUACCGAACGUUGGUCCUAUAUGUCAUUCUAUCAGUGGCUAUCUGCCGCAAUUGUGAGUUAGAUAGUACUAAUAACAGCUGUCAGGUUCAAACCUAGAACAUUUAAUAAACAAUAAACAAGAAAGGAAGACGAGAAUGUUCAUAUACUCACGAGGAGAACGCUAAGAGUUGUUCGCAGUUUACAAACUCCUACCGCUCUGAACACACUCUGUCGAUCCCUCUCUUUUUAUUUUCUUAGGGCGGUUCCUAGUUACACAGCUGUUGCUGCUAUAAAGUUGGGGGAGCACAUAGCAGCAACAUGUAAACAGACUCACAGACAACUUCAAUUUACAUGAUACAAUCAACAUUAUACUCAAUCAACAUCAUACUGCUAAAUGCAUGCUUUGAAAUAGGAUUAGAGUAAACAUGAGAUAACAUAUACUUUUAUUCUGACAUUUCCCUCCUGUUUAUCACAUCCAUACAUCCAUUUUCUGAGCCGCUUCUCCUCACUAGGGUUGCGGGCGUGCUGGAGCCUAUCCCAGCUGUCAUCGGGCAGGAGGCGGGGUACACCCUGAACUGGUUGCCAGCCAAUCGCAAGGCACAUACAAACAAACAACCAUCCGCACUCGCAUUAAUUGGAGACUCUAAAUUGCCCGUAGGUGUGAACAAAAAAACAUAAUGGCAAAUAAUGAUGACAAAUGCAUUUCCACUUUAUUUGAAUAAAGUGCAAAUCAAAUGGUUUCAGGUUUGAUGAAUAGUAGGUUUACCUGCGACUUCUGAUUGUCACAGUUGGUAAUCGUAUGAUGUUGGACUGGACCCAAAAGGAGACGGAAGCGGAGGAAUUAAUCGCUCAGCGUGUAGGACAUCCGAGGGGUGAUGGUGGUCCGUUGAAACAGGGAAGGUGUAGGAAGUGGAGGUAGUCGAGUGCAGGUAGUCGAGGAACUUACGAGGAGGAGUCAUGAAAGUUGGCCUGUGUUGGCCACAGAUGAACGUCAAUACUCUGGCGCUGGAUUCCUGGAUCUGGCAGGCUUAAAUGCUGGCAGUGUAGAGUGCUGAUUGGGAACAGGUGCGCGGAUGAGGUGCUGAUUGCAAGGGAGAGAGAGAGGGAGGGAAAGGCGAGGCAAAAAGCGCCACCAGAGUUCCAAAAAGGGAACUGCAGGGACACACCAUGACACUGAUGUCUUUUUCGACAUAAAAAUAAUUAAUCAUCUUGUUGUGGUUGGACACAAAACAUGGAAUGCUCAAAUUUUCUAAUUAUAUUUUUUACUCGGCACGAUGUGUGACGUCGUGGUUACGUAGCUCUGAGUAGCUUGUAACGUCCAAGUUCCCAUCUGUCCAGGGUGAGACACUUUCCAGUCUGCCUGCUCGAUGCUCUCUUUGACUGCUUUGGUCUGUCUCUUAGUAAAGUGUCGGCGUUAGCGUUUUGCUGAAGUACAGUAUGUGAUGGAAAUUUGUACCGUGCUGCAAAUGUGUUUACCAACCUUUUAGCUCUCCAUCGUGCGAAAACCUGGUUGAAAUGUCUCACGAAUUGAUGUUUGGCCUCAGCUUGCUUCUUACUUCGGGUGAUUGUGGCUUUUCAUAUUACUUAUAUUCCACAACUUGUCGACAGCGGCGGCUUUCAGCAAACAGUUUAUUGCAUGGCCAUCAUGUUAUUUCCUCCAACGUUUUUUUAUUACUGCAAAUCAAAAAUGCGUCCAUACUUCGGAUUUAAACUUUGGUGGGUGUUCUCUAACAUCUUCAACAAACAAGAACAGUACAGUUGCCUUGACUCAACCUUUGCAGAUUACACUCGUGAAGUUUUGCGUUCUGCACAGUGACUGAUUCACCGUCAUAUUUCCUGCACUGCGCAUGAGAGAUUUGAUUUGCUUCUCAGACAGGAAAUUUAAUCGAGUAAUGCUGACCAUCUUUUUUAUUAAAAGUGGUUAAAAAAAACACAUUCACCCAUAUCAAGUCUGCCGUACGGAAAUCCAAUUGCGUUAUUUCCGAGUAUCGAUACAAUCAAUUUGUUGUCUUCUACAAUGAUCUAAAUCUAUUUGUUUUAGCUGAGGACAGAUUGAUCCAAUUGGAUUUUAGGAAUAUAAAUCGAUACAUCGAUAUAAACAAUGAAUUGUUAUGCCUCUAAUAAUAAUCUGCAAUUGGCUGGCGAC